rnacentral:rRNA from 1 species
GAUGAACGCUGGCGGCGUGCCUAAUACAUGCAAGUCGAGCGAAUGGAUUGAGAGCUUGCUCUUAUGAAGUUAGCGGCGGACGGGUGAGUAACACGUGGGUAACCUGCCCAUAAGACUGGGAUAACUCCGGGAAACCGGGGCUAAUACCGGAUAACAUUUUGAACCGCAUGGUUCGAAAUUGAAAGGCGGCUUCGGCUGUCACUUAUGGAUGGACCCGCGUCGCAUUAGCUAGUUGGUGAAGUAACGGCUCACCAAGGCAACGAUGCGUAGCCGACCUGAGGGGAUGAACAGACACACUGGGACUGAGACACGGCCCAGACUCCUACGGGAGGCAGCAGUGGGGAAUUUUGGACAGUGGUGGCAACCCUGAUCCAGCCAUGCCGCGUGAGUGAAGAAGGCCUUCGGGUUGUAAAGCUCUUUCGGUGGGAACGAAACGGUUCGGACUAAUACUCUGGAUCACUGACGGUACUCACAGAAGAAGCACCGGCUAACUACGUGCCAGCAGCCGCAGUAA